GACGAACGCUGGCGGCGUGCUUAACACAUGCAAGUCGAACGGAAAGGCCCUGCUUUUGUGGGGUGCUCGAGUGGCGAACGGGUGAGUAACACGCGAGUAACCUGCCCUUGACUUUGGGAUAACUUCAGGAAACUGGGGCUAAUACCGGAUAGGAGCUCCUGCUGCAUGGUGGGGGUUGGAAAGUUUCGGCGGUUGGGGAUGGACUCGCGGCUUAUCAGCUUGUUGGUGGGGUAGUGGCUUACCAAGGCUUUGACGGGUAGCCGGCCUGAGAGGGUGACCGGCCACAUUGGGACUGAGAUACGGCCCAGACUCCUACGGGAGGCAGCAGUGGGGAAUAUUGCACAGUGGGCGGAAGCCUGAUGCAGCAACGCCGCGUGCGGGAUGACGGCCUUCGGGUUGUAAACCGCUUUCGCCUGUGACGAAGCGUGAGUGACGGUAAUGGGUAAAGAAGCACCGGCUAACUACGUG
rnacentral:rRNA from 1 species